UGUAAAGCUGCUGAGCUGUCAGAACUCAUCACAAUGCUUGGACAUGUAGGACAGAUUCACUUGGCAGGACUGCUCCUGCCCACACUUGGUCAGUCUUAAGCUGGGCAGUGAUUCCUUCAGCUGAACAGCUAUUACAAGAUGUGACCUUAUCUAUGGAAACUAAAAAGGGCGAAGACAGAUCUCAGCAAGAUGGAUUCUAAAAUUCAUGCAGAGAACAGUCAGCUUUUCAGUGAAAGCAGACAUUUCAACAGUUUUCAGGUAUCAUCUGUGUAUCAAAGGAUGGAGACAAGCAGUAAAGAUCUGGACUCCACUUUUCCAGAGGUCAAGAGCGAUCCAGAGUGCAGAAUGAACAAACACUCUGAGUUGUGGAUGUACAUACACAAGCAUCAACAGGUUCCGUGUUUGGAGUGCAGGAAUCAUUUCAACGUAAGU